UGGAUUGGCAGGAUCAACAUU
rnacentral:piRNA from 1 species